GUAGGGGGCAAGCGUUGUCCGGAAUUAUUGGGCGUAAAGCGCGCGCAGGCGGUUCUUUAAGUCUGAUGUGAAAGCCCACGGCUCAACCGUGGAGGGUCAUUGGAAACUGGAGAACUUGAGUACAGAAGAGGAAAGCGGAAUUCCACGUGUAGCGGUGAAAUGCGUAGAGAUGUGGAGGAACACCAGUGGCGAAGGCGGCUUUCUGGUCUGUAACUGACGCUGAGGCGCGAAAGCGUGGGGAGCAAACAGGGAUUAGAUACCCUGGUAGUCCACGCCGUAAACGAUGAGUGCUAAGUGUUAGGGGGUUUCCGCCCCCUUAGUGCUGCAGCUAACGCAUUAAGCACUCCGCCUGGGGAGUACGGCCGCAAGGCUG
rnacentral:rRNA from 1 species